rnacentral:misc_RNA from 1 species
GCAAACUUGGUCAUUUAGAGGAAGUAAAAGUCGUAACAAGGUUUCCGUAGGUGAACCUGCGGAAGGAUCAUUAAAGUGCCAGCGGGACACCCCGCUAAAGGCCCCACACUUGUCUACCGAACCACGUUGCCUCGGCGGGACCGCCCCCCUAGGGGGGCCGCCGGGGGGAUUUAACCCCCCCUGGUCCGCGCCCGCCGGAGGACAUAUAACCAAAACACCCUGUAACAGUGAGUAGUCUGAGCGAUUAUUUAAAUGAAUCAAAACUUUCAACAAUGGAUCUCUUGGUUCCGGCAUCGAUGAAGAACGCAGC